rnacentral:rRNA from 1 species
GUCCUUUUGUUUAUAAUUUAAGGUUUAACCUGCCCACUGAAUAGUAUUUUAAAUGGCCGCAGUAAUUUGACUGUGCAAAGGUAGCAUAAUCAUUAGUUUUUUAAUUAAAAGCUUGUAUGAAAGGUUGGACGAGGUAAAUUCUGUCUUUAUUUAAUUUAAAUUAGAAUUUAAUUUUUAAGUUAAAAAGCUUAAAUAUAUUUAAAAGACGAGAAGACCCUAUAGAUCUUAAUAUUAAUUAUAAUAAAUUUAAUUAAGAAUAAUUAAUUUUUUAUUAUAAAAAAUAUUUUAUUGGGGUAAUAAAAAGAUUAAAUAAAUUCUUUUUUUAUUUUUACAUAGAUAAAUGAAUAUUUGAUCCAAUUUUAUUGAUUAAAAGAUUAAGUUACCUUAGGGAUAACAGCGUAAUUUUUUUAGAGAGUUCAUAUCGAUAAAAAAGUUUGCGA